GUUCAGUUCAGUUCAAACGAGAUAUUGUGUAUUAAUGUUAAAAUUAGACAUAGAUAAACAACAUAUACAAAGAUCAAUUAUGUGACAUUUUGGAUUGGAUUCUGUGGAGUGUCUGGAUAUAUAACUUGCAAUCACGACAACAACAUCACCUUCCAUUUUUUUGUGACGAAGACCAGCACUGUUGUGAUGAGGUGGACUGUUGCUACGCAUUGCCUGAGUCGGCGAUCAUCGAGAUAUCGGUUGGAGGCAUUAUCCUCCUAAUUUCUGUAGCCAUCUGUAUCUGGGUACUUGUGGAGAAAAAUAAAACCAAACCGAGAAGAAUGAUACGACUACGCCAGAAUGCAAAUAUAGCAGCUGUGGCCGUACCCAGCGCACCCGGCUAUCACCCACCACAAAACGACAUAAGCCAGUAUCCCCCUCCCCCGACAUACAAUCAAGUCUUCAGCCAGUACCCCCGGGAUACUUCCAGCCGCCUGCAUACAGUGAGACAAUCAGCCACCCCCCGGCCUACGGUCAGGCAACAGCCGGGUAUAGCCAGGCUCCAUACCCACCACCGCCAGCGUUUGACUCUUUACCGCCAAAGCAUUAGCGUAGUCAAACUUAUUGCCUUUCAAAGUAUGUCUUAAAGUUGACUUAUGAGUUCAUUAAAGUAUAAUCAAUACAACGUAUAUAUUCAUUAAAUGAUAACAUAACAGAAAAGCGCAUCGCAACUCAAAGUAAGAGUUAAGGCGACUUCUUAAAUGCUAAUCUUGAAAUAAAAAAAUAUAUCAAAAUGAUUAAAUUAUGCACCUUCCACUUAACCCCUUUCAAUAUUAAGAUAUUUUAGUUCACGAAGUGUUACCGCUUAUAUAACAUAAUUAAAAAAUGUUUCCAAAAUACAAUGUUCUAGAAAAUAAAUUGUGUGCAUGAACAGCGAAAAUGCCAUAUCUGUUAUCUUGACGGGUUUCAAAUUCUCAGCUAAGUCAUACAUCAGUAUGUCAUUGGUUCAAUGUCCAUUGCAUCUAUCUAACAUGAGAAACAUGCAUACUUAUUGCUAAUUCCCAAGAUGUCUUAGUGAUUUGUCAAGAUUGAUUUGAUGUCCCUGUAAUUUGUAAAGAUUAAUUCCCAUUUUGUCCCAGGGAAUUGUCAAGGUCAAUUCCCAUGAGGCCUUAGUGAUUUGUCAAGGUCAAUUCCCAUGGUGUCCUUGUGAUUUGUCAAGGUUAAUUCCCGUGAUGUCCUAAUGAUUUGUCAAGGUCAAUUCAUGUGGUGUCCUAGUGAUUUGUCAAGGUCAAUUCCAGUGAUGUCCUAGUGAUUUGUCAAGGUCAAUUCCCGUGAUGCCUUAGUGAUAUGUCAAGGUCAAUUCCAGUGAUGUCCUAGUGAUUUGUCAAGGUGAAUUCCCGUGAUGUCAUAGUGAUUUGUCAAGGAGAAUUCCCGUGUUGUCCUAGUGAUUUGUCAAGGUCAAUUCCCGUGAUGUCCUAGUGAUUUGUCAAGGUCAAAUCCCGUGAUGUCAUAGUGAUUUGUCAAGGUGAAUUCCCGUGUUGUCCUAGUGAUUUGUCAAGGUCAAUUUCCGUGAUGUCCUAGUGAUUUCUCAAGGUCAAUUCCCGUGACGUCCUAGUGACUUGUCAAGGUCAAUUCCCGUGAUGUCCUUGUGACUUUCUCAAGGUCAAUUCCCUUAAUGUCCUUGUGAUUUAUCAAGGUCAAUUCCCGUCAUGUCCUGAUGUCCUCUAUAAAUUGGUUUUUAUUGCUUUACUGAAGUAUCUAUAUAAACAUGAAUCGAUUUUUUUCCACAACGAAUCAAACAUGUUGUUUAUAUCAUGUUGUUGUC